AGUCCAAACCACAUUGGUCCCAAGAGCCGACUCUUUACCUUCUCUGAUGCCACCAUCCUUCUUCUUGAUUUGACUCCAUGGGCCCCUCUCUUGAGGCCAGACCCACCCCUUCUCCUUGUGCUGAUUGGGGCAGGGAAAGGGCGAUUGAUGGUGGAGUGCCCUCUAGAGACAGUGCCAUGGUCCAGUGUAGACCUGGUCCUGCUUUCCUCUCUGUCCCGAAGCUGAGGGAUACUCCCAAGACAUUGACUAAUGCAGACCAAAGCCAUAUUAACCUGGUUUACUCUACAAUGCUCACUGGGAGCGGAGAAAUGUCAUGAAGACAGCCAUGAUUUAGCUCACAGAAUUCCCCGGCUGACCAAGAUAAAUGUGGGUGCGUAUUGUACAGAAGGGCCAGUGAAGGGGUAGAGUUUAGGGAAAGAAGCGUCCUUUCCUUCCUCUCCCCAUACCUGUCGGUUUAGCUUUGAAGUUGGGUGCCGCAGAGGAAAGAGAAAUCCCAUUAUCCCUGUGCACGCCACAUUGUUUACUGGCAUACACUCCCCUUAGGACUUGACUAACAGCAACUUUGUAUUUUGGCAAUAUUGUGACAUCUUGCAACCCAAAGACCGCAAAGAACCUAACGACUACAAAGAAGCAAGCGACGAUAACACCGUAAAGGAAGAUUUCGCUUUGAAACCUGUAGGUGCAGAGCCAGGGCUUGUUGCAGCUCCAACAGAAAGCCUCGUUCGGUGUUGCUGUGCUCACACAGAAUCACAGUUAUUCCUUUGGAAACCGCAUCCAAUACAUCAUGGUGUGACAUCUCUCCUAUCAAGGCAAUCAAGAUGAGGUCUAUUAUGAGAAGAUUGAGCUACAAUUUAGAAUAGUGAAUAGUACUUCAGGACAAAGAGGUCAACAGUUUUUGCUUCUUACUGAGUCAAUGUAGGGGCUUACUGAGAACCUUUACAGCCAACGUGUGAUGGGAUGCUAAAUAAUAAUCACAAAAAUAAAUACCUGUGCUGGGUUUAUGACUAAUUUCAUGUGAUGCAUAAAGAUAUAUGAUGAAUGGUUUGAAUGAAAUUGUAUGAAAGAUGUAUGGUUGGGGGCUAUAUAGUCUAGAGAUGCCAUCCUAAGGAAUGAGGCUUGGAAAACUACAAGAAGGAGGUGAAGAAUUCAUAGACUAUAAUUAAAAGUUGCUGGCAUUGGUGACCAGUGAUUAUGAUUAACUGUUGAACUUUUGGUUGGAAACAACGUGUUUACAUUAUCAGAGACAAUGGCUCUUUAAGUUAAGGAAAUGUUUACAAUGUUCCCUACGUUAGAAAGGAAGUCAACACAAGGCUCCUUACGUUUACCAACAUCAAUUAAGGAGAGUCAACAUCUGCCAGGAACUAAGAUGAAGCCAGGAUGUUUCGGGCCAGAAAAACACCCAUCAUUCAUUUACAUCUUUGAAACAUCAGCAGAAUAUUCCUAUAAAAGACUCAGCCUAAUCAUUUUCAAGUGUGACAGACAGCUGUGCUGUUCACCCGUCGUGCUCUAUUGAAAGAGAUGGUGUACCUUAGGUGUGCCCAAUCUGCUACAGGAAAGGAGGAUUCUGGACACUUGGCUCCUUUUCUCAAAGGAAGAGAAUAGAGCAGUGGUUCUCAACCUGUGGGUCCCCAGAUGUUUUGGCCUUCAACUUCCAGAAAUCCUAACAGCUGGUAAAUUGGCUGGGAUUUCUGAGAGUUGUAGGCCAAAACACCUGGGGACCCACAGGGUGAGAACCACUGGAAUAGAGUGUGAUUUUGGAGUCAUGAUACAUCAGUUUCUGGUGUAGGAAAAACGGGGAUCAGAUCCUUGGCAUUGUUCAUAGGGAAAGAGGAUGCAUUUUGGCAUUUUAGAAAGUUUUGGAAGUAUUGGAAAAGUGGCAGAUUUGCAAUUAAGCAGUCUGGCCUAAAAGAUAUUCUUCUACAUGAGAUGACGGAAGAAGAAUGGUGAUGGAUGCAUGAGGAUGGAUGAAUGUGUAUGGUUAAUGUGAAUGCUGAGUAGAAAUGUAAUUCCCCUUUGUUUGUACGCCAAUGUAACUGUAGGUUGUUUGUGGAUUCAAUGUAGUUACAUAGAAUCUGUAUAUCUGUAUGUUUAAAUGUUGUUCUGUAAAAGUUCUGAUACCCUUUCUCUUACUGGAAAAUUGCAAUAAAAGAACCUAUGCAUUAAA